UUUUAGAGUUUGAUCAUGGCUCAGAUUGAACGCUGGCGGCAGGCCUAACACAUGCAAGUCGGGCGGUAACAGGGAGAAGCUUGCUUCUCUGCUGACGAGCGGCGGACGGGUGAGUAAUGUAUGGGGAUCUGCCUGAUGGAGGGGGAUAACUACUGGAAACGGUAGCUAAUACCGCAUAAUGUCUCCGGACCAAAGCGGGGGACCUUCGGGCCUCGCACCAUCAGAUGAACCCAUAUGGGAUUAGCUUGUAGGUAAGGUAACGGCUCACCUAGGCGACGAUCCCUAGCUGGUCUGAGAGGAUGAUCAGCCACACUGGGACUGAGACACGGCCCAGACUCCUACGGGAGGCAGCAGUGGGGAAUAUUGCACAAUGGGCGCAAGCCUGAUGCAGCCAUGCCGCGUGUAUGAAGAAGGCCUUCGGGUUGUAAAGUACUUUCAGUCGGGAGGAAGGUGUUUAAGGUUAAUAACCUUGACAAUUGACGUACCGACCGAAGAAGGCCCCCCGUGGUCAGGCGUGGCUUCCGGAGCUAACGCGUUAAGUCGACCGCCUGGGGAGUACGGCCGCAAGGUUAAAACUCAAAUGAAUUGACGGGGGCCCGCACAAGCGGUGGAGCAUGUGGUUUAAUUCGAUGCAACGCGAAGAACCUUACCUACUCUUGACAUCCAGAGAACUUAGCAGAGAUGCUUUGGUGCCUUCGGGAACUCUGAGACAGGUGCUGCAUGGCUGUCGUCAGCUCGUGUUGUGAAAUGUUGGGUUAAGUCCCGCAACGAGCGCAACCCUUAUCCUUUGUUGCCAGCGAGUGAUGUCGGGAACUCAAAGGAGACUGCCGGUGAUAAACCGGAGGAAGGUGGGGAUGACGUCAAGUCAUCAUGGCCCUUACGAGUAGGGCUACACACGUGCUACAAUGGCGUAUACAAAGGGAAGCGACCCUGCGAAGGCAAGCGGAACUCAUAAAGUACGUCGUAGUCCGGAUUGGAGUCUGCAACUCGACUCCAUGAAGUCGGAAUCGCUAGUAAUCGUAGAUCAGAAUGCUACGGUGAAUACGUUCCCGGGCCUUGUACACACCGCCCGUCACACCAUGGGAGUGGGUUGCAAAAGAAGUAGGUAGCUUAACCUCCGGGAGGGCGCUACCACUUUUUGAUUUCCCGAGG
rnacentral:rRNA from 1 species